UACGGAGGGUGCAAGCGUUAUCCGGAUUCACUGGGUUUAAAGGGUGCGUAGGUGGGCAAGUAAGUCAGUGGUGAAAUCUCCGGGCUUAACUCGGAAAGGUCAACUGAUACUGUGCGACUAGAGUGCGGAAGGGGCAACUGGAAUUCUCGGUGUAGCGGUGAAAUGCGUAGAUAUCGAGAGGAACACCUGCGGCGAAGGCGGGUUGCUGGGCCGACACUGACGCUGAUGCGCGAAAGCCAGGGGAGCGAACGGG
rnacentral:rRNA from 1 species